rnacentral:piRNA from 1 species
UGCCUUUGCAGAUUUUGAGACGCUUUG